AGCAAAGAAUGGACUCAUCUCUGAGAUCAUGAUUAAUGAUCACGAGACAGCUGGGACACUGGGAAAGGGCAGGAUGCGCGAUAUACCAACAAUUGGUGCUUUAAUUAAAGCCACAAACAUCCACGCGAGGAAUCUCAAAGGUUCGUGGUCGACUUCCCUCCGCAGACGGACGGCGCGAUUAGUGGAACGCGCCCAGAGACGCCGUUGGCAGCGUUACGGUUGACGUGGAUCCGCGCUGCCCGCGCCGCAGUUUCCACCGGACGCAGUUUGAGGCACGCGGCGCUUUUGUUUUUGCGCAGACAAAGCGCUUCGCGGCUGCGAGGCGCAAAGCGAUGACUGCGCGAGAGAGCGGCACUAAAGACAAAUGGGCUUCAACAAAGCCCAAAUAAGCUGGACGAGUCUGAUUCCACCAGGCUGCACGAUUAUGAUGCCAGAAAACAGGCUAAGCGGAUGAACCUGCUCUCACACAGGACGUCUGAUCUCUCUGUGAACCACUUGGACAGUGAUGCAGGCAACCCGAGGGAAAGACUGCAGCUGCGAGAUGGAGAAGCUGGAGAUGCUCCAGGAUCAGCAGAGAGGAAGCGUCAUAGCAUCACUUCAAUCCUGAACGAUUCUAUUCACAGUCGAUAUGAACAGGAGGAGUGAUUACACAAACAAGAACCUGCGUCAUAGCUCACAUACGUGUUUAACUGUAGUUAUGGAACAGACUUAUUCUGUAAGUGGCCACAUGCACUGUGUCACAAACGGUAACAGCUAAUAAGUUAUACCCAAGAGCAGAGAUGUCAAGUUGCUUGUCUAAGAAUUAGUAAGUACAGAAUGAAAAAUUACAGCAAGGCUGGAAAUACAAAAAUACUAAAUUUGGGAAAACUACAGCAGGAAGUAACAAUUGAAUUACAAAUGAUCCAAAGUCUGAACUAACAAAGUCAGUUCAAAAGCAAGAGAAGAGAAAAAAUUAAUAAGUUGGAAAACAGUAGAAAAAAAACAACGACCACAAAAAAAAACACUUGCAACUAGCAACAAGAUGCAAAUCAAUGAA